rnacentral:rRNA from 1 species
UACACACCGCCCGUCACACCACGAAAGUCGGUAACACCCGAAGCCAGUGGCCCAACGUCGCAAGAGAGGGAGCUGUCGAAGGUGGGAUCGGCGAUUGGGGUG